rnacentral:lncRNA from 1 species
CUCCACAUGGGGAAUGAAUACACUUUAUUUAAAACUUCUUUCUGUGCAUCUGCUGCUUGUCAACUCAUGAUCUUCUGAUCCUUGAAGAUUUGACAACCCUGUGAUUUGCUGUAAUGGAAUUACUGAAAAGUUAUCAACAAAGACGUUGCAAUGUAAGAAUGCAACAUGUUCAGUUUACUUGGGCUCGGGGGAUUAAGCCUGCCCAGGCCUCCCUUGUAUUUGAAAUGUAUGAUAUUGAUAUCAGUGCUUAGAGAGAAUCAGGCCUCUGCAAUGAGCAGAUCAUGCCUGGCUCCAUAAAGUCUACAUUGCAUGGAGAGAUGUAUAGGCUAGGUGGAGAAGGGCCAAGUCAGGCCUUUGCUCUGGAAAGCAAGUAUUAGGUAAUG